ensembl:lncRNA
GGAUGGGCUGAGAGGGUGGUCUAUGGUGAUAGGUGGGAUGGGCUGAGGGGGUGGUCUAUGGUGAUAGGUGGGAUGGGCUGAGAGGGUGGUCUAUGGUGAUAGGUGGGAUGGGCUGAGAGGGUGGUCUAUGGUGAUAGGUGGGAUGGGCUGAGAGGGUGGUCUAUGGUGAUAGGUGGGAUGGGCUAUGGUGAUAGGUGGGAUGGGCUGAGGGGUGGUCUAUGGUGAUAGAUGGGAUGGGCUGAGAGGGUGGUCUAUGGUGAUAGGUGGGAUGGGCUGAGGGGAUGGUCUAUGGUGAUAGGUGGGAUGGGCUGAGGGGGUGGUCUAUGGUGAUAGGUGGGAUGGGCUGAGGGGUGGUCUAUGGUGAUAGGUGGGAUGGGCUGAGAGGGUGGUCUAUGGUGAUAGGUGGGAUGGGCUGAGAGGGUGGUCUAUGGUGAUAGGUGGGAUGGGCUGAGGGGGUGGUCUAUGGUGAUAGGUGGGAUGGGCUGAGAGGGUGGUCUAUGGUGAUAGGUGGGAUGGGCUGAGAGGGUGGUCUAUGGUGAUAGGUGGGAUGGGCGGAUCAUCCCCAGGUGGUGAGGGUAGGUAACAACACAUCUGUCACGCUGAUCCUCAACACUGGGGCCCCUCAGGGGUGCGUGACCCCCUCCUGUACUCCCUG